rnacentral:rRNA from 1 species
CCCUUAGAUAUUCUGGGCUGCACACGUGCUACACUGGCAGGUUCAGCGAGCUUCAUGCCCUGAUCUGAAAGGAAUGGGAAAUCUUUUCAAAACCUGCCGUGCUUGGGAUAGAUGUUUGCAAUUAUUCAUCUUCAACGAGGAUUGCCUUGUAAGCGCACGUCAUCAGCGUGCAUUGAAUACGACCCUGUAUUCUGUACACACCGCCCGUCGCUCCUACCGAUUGAAGUUUUCGGUGAGUUGACAGGAGGAUUUUUUUGAAACUGGUUCGCCAGUGGAUUUUAGAUCCAAAUGCCAACGAAUCGAUGGCUUUAGAGGAAGGAGAAGUCGUAACA